AUGCUGGAAGGAGAGGAUGGACCUGUUGAAGACCCCAAAGGUAUACUUGACCUUACUGUUCAGUUUUAUAAAAAGUUGUUUGGCUUUACCCCCAAACUUAAUAUUCACCUCAAAGAAGGUUUUUGGGGAGAGGAUGGGGUAGUUUCCAGGGCUCAUAAUGAGAAGCUUGAUGCUCCCUUUUCUGAGGAAGAAAUCAAGGCUGCUGUCUUUGGCUCUUAUGCUAAAGGGGCCCCAGGCCCAGAUGGCUUUUCCUUUUUAUUUUAUCAGCACUUUUGGGACCUGAUUAAGCCAGAUUUGCUUUCUCUUUUUGCAGACUGGGAGAAAGGAGAGCUAGAUUUACAUAGGCUUAAUUUCUCCCUUCUCACAUUGGUCCCUAAAGAACCUAAUGUUGUUAGACUGGAAAGAUUUAGACCUCUUGCCAUGACUAAUUGUAGUUUUAAAAUCUUUUCUAAAUGUUGUACAGAUAGGUUUGGUCCAGUGUGUGAUGACAUUAUUCUACAAAACCAAACUGCCUUCAUGAAGGGGAGGUUCAUUAUGGAGAGCAUUGUUGCUGCACACGAGAUUGUGCACUCUUUGGCCUCCUCUAAACUUUCUGGUUUUGUUUUCAAACUUGACUAUGAGAAAGCAUAUGAUAUGAUAAAUAGAGAUUUUCUUUUUGAGGUUUUAUCCAGUAGAGGCUUUAGCAUUAAAUGGAUUGAUAGAAUUAAAUCUCUAAUAUUAAAUGGGUCUGUUGGUGUCAGAGUUAAUGACACCAAUAGUGACUUUUCAUUGCAGGUAAAGGGGUGA
rnacentral:rRNA from 1 species